rnacentral:rRNA from 1 species
UUACCGUGAAAAAAUUAGAGUGUUCAAAGCAGGCAGAUCCAAUUUUCUGCCACCGAAUACAUUAGCAUGGGAUAAUGGAAUAGGACCCUGUCCUCCUAUUUUCAGUUGGUUUUGGCAGCGCGAGGACUAGGGUAAUGAUUAAUAGGGAUAGUUGGGGGCAUUAAUAUUUAAUUGUCAGAGGUGAAAUUCUUGGAUUUAUGAAAGAUUAACUUCUGCGAAAGCAUCUGCCAAGGAUGUUUUCAUUAAUCAAGAACGAAAGUUAGGGGAUCGAAGACGAUCAGAUACCGUCGUAGUCUUAACCAUAAACGAUGCCGACCAGCGAUUAGGAGACGUUGAAUACAAAACACCACCAUCGGCGCGGUCGUCCUUGGCGUCUGUCCCUUUCAACGGGGGCAGGCGCGAGGGCGGUUUAGCCCGGUGGCACCGGUGAAUGACUCCCUAG